ensembl:lncRNA
UUGGGGCGGGGCUUGUUGGGGGCGUGGUCUGGGCAUAGCUAGUCGCCCGGCCGACCUCUCCCGCCCUCUGGUGGCCGGGUCGCUUCAGGCCGGUACCAUCAGCCCACGCUUACUAGGAUUCAAAGCCACUAAGAAGUUGACCUGAGCUGGGACCCCACCUGCCUGGGAACUACAGGCCUCGGCUGGUAUACCAGCACCGAGCAUCACAGCCCCGCAAGAGUAAGGGCUGACCACUAGCCAGACCUCAAGAGCACCUGGCAUCUUCUGGACAGAAAUUAGGAUGGCAGCUACCAGAAACAUUCUCCAGCGCAGCUGGGAAGACCCAAGAGUGCCUCUGUCACUUAGUGGCACCUGGCUGCAUUCCAACCAGUAUACCUCUUUUGUUUGUUUGGCUUGCAAACAUGGCUGUUUGUGAUCACUCUACUCCCCUCCACUGCCUGAUGUUUUCAAAGGGCAGCCUGCCCUGUUUCGACUUCCUCGUCUUACAUUUAUUCCACAGUGCUCUAAAAGAAGGUCACCAGGAAAACCUCAAAUGCCAAAUCCAGUGUGCUGUUUUUCAGACCUCAUGGUUGCCACCUUUCCAAAGAAACCCCACUCCCUCCUAUUCCUGAAUCCUUGUCUGCCCAGACCACUGUUUCUGGCUUCUUUUUCUUCAUCUUGCCUUGCAUUCUUUCAUGAGGCUGCUUCUCUUCUCCCAGAGCAGUUUUGUCUGUCUGUCCAUCUUACUUAAAAUGGUAGCCUGGACUUCUCUCUUGAGCUGAAACUGUGGCUCUGCUGCCACUGUGCCUCGUCGUCUCAGUCACCAGUGUCAAGGCACCUUCUUCCCAACAGGCUCCAGCCAUUAACAGUGCUGUGCGGAGGACAAAGCUUCCAACAUAGGAAGCCUAGACAGACAGCUCACAUCCCAACUCUAGCGUGUGUCCUUUAAAGCCAGUGUUCUGCUCAUGGUAACCCACCCCAGCACACAGAACACCGGGAAAGGAGUCUUCACUGAGUUUUUCCAUCCCUCCAUGCCCUUCCAUCCACACUCUGGUUUCUGUUUAGAUUGCCUCCCUUCACUUACUUACUUCAUCAACUAUUCACUCUAUACUCAUAGUCAGUCAGCAAAUCACUUCAACCACCAUUUAUUCCCAGGUAAAGACCGAUCCCUGGUGAGCUGGGAUACAGAGACGACCAGAUGUUUGAGAAAACCUGACACAAUGAGAACCAACAUCAUCCACUAAAUGACACUUCCGCACCCCCCCCCCAAAAUGGAGGGGAAAAUAAAACAUUCUGCGUUUGUGUUUUCAAGUGUUUGGAAGAAUAUGUAAGGGUCAUAGACCGAAUUAUUAAGAAAUUGCCUGGGCUGGGUGUGGGGGCACAUGCCUUUAAUACAAGCACUGGAGAGGUAGAGGCUGGCAGAUCUCUGAGUUUGAGGUCAGUCUGGCCUACAAAGUGAGUUCCAGGACAGCCAGGGCUACAUAGAGACACCCUGUCUGAAAGAAUAAAGGAAAACAAAAGAAAUCACCGGCAGGGGCUGACAAGAGGGCUCAGUGGGGAAAAGGGCUCACCUCACAAACCUGACCACCAUUCUGGAACCCAUGAUGGAAGAAGAGAACAGAUGCUUGAAAGUUGUCCUCUGGCUUCCAUAAGCAUGUGCCAUGGCACGUAUGAACCUGCAUUCAUGUAUGUACAUCACAUGCACACACAUGCACUCAUACACACACACACACACACACACACACACACACACACACACACACACACACUUAAAAAGAAAUUACUAGCAGGCAAGUAUCAUCAGUGAUUGGUAAAUGCAGUGCACCAGGGGGCUAGAGAGAUGGCUCUGCAGUAAAGAGCAGUUGUUGCUCUCUUCCAGAGGACCCUGGUUCAAUUCCCAGCACCCACACAGCGGGUCACAACCAUCUGUAACUCCAUUCCUAUGGGAUCUGAUGCCUUCUUCUGGCUUCCUUGGCUACCAGGCAUAGAUGUUGUGCACAGACAUAUGCUGAGGGUACACAUGAGAGGUAGAACACCCAUACAUACAAAAUAAAAUAAAAACUAAAAAAAUUUAAGUGCUAUGUGUGGUGGUGCAUGCUUUUAAUCCCAGCACUCAGGAGGCAGAGGUCAGCCUGGUCUACAGAGUGAGUUCCAGGACAGCCAGGGCUGUUACAAGAGAAACCCUGUCUCAAAAAACCAAAAACAAAUAAAACAAAACAACAACAAAAACCCUAAAAAAUAAAGAGUAAAUGCAAUAGGCCAACAUAUGAUGGUUCUGUAUUCAGGUUCCUUUACAAAACCUAACCUCCAACGUGAUGGUUAAGAAGAUGAAACCUUUGAAGCUAUGAUUCAGCUCUGCUUGUUCCUCCUUCAAAAUGUACCAGUGCUCUUAUAAAGGGCACUCAGGAAAACGUGUCACUUUGUCCCACGUGAGAACACACAGAAGACCCGGUCCGUGAGGAACAGGUGCACACCAGGUGCCGAGUCCACCAGCACUUUCUAGCUUAGGCUUUCCAGACUCCAGAAUGGUUAGAAAUGUUUAUUGAUCUUUCAGUCACUCGGUGUGUGGUGUUUUUGAUAUUGCAGCCUGAAUGGACUAAGAAAAACAGGCUAUUUGCUUUGUCGAAUAGUUCCCCAUCAGAUGUGUAACAGUAACAGAAAGAAAACAGAAACUUACUGUGGAGAAACCAGGCAGACACACCCUAUGCCAACUGAACAAAAUUGACAUCAUCAUCAGGGGUCACAUGAUUUAAAGGACUGAGAAAGGUGUGUCCUUUCUGAGAUGUUCUUGCCUAAAAUACUUUGCCUCAGUCUAAUUGUGAAAAAAAAAUUAGACUAAUCCAUACUAAGAGUCACUCUAUGAAAUACCAGUGUGAACGUUGAGUCUCACCAAGAUUGGAGUUGGAGGGCAUUGUCACACAAUACUAAAAUGUAAUGAGAAAAUCAGGAUUGGGUCCUGGACCAAGAGAAGGAUAUUCAAGGGGACCAUUGGAAAAAUUGGAAUAAAAUCUAUCCAUAGGAUAUCCAACUGGGAAUGGUGGCAUAGUCCAGUAAUCCCAACACUGGGAAGGCUAAGGCAGGAAGGUAAUUGGAUUCAAGCCCACAUUGAACUAUAUAGCAAGAUCCAGUCUCAAAGAAAAAAACUAACAACAACAACAACAAAACCCAAUUGCUGUAUCUAUACUAAUCCUAAUUUUUAAAG